rnacentral:tmRNA from 1 species
GGGGGCGAAACGGUUUCGACGGGGGAAGCGGUGGCAGGAGCAGCGAGCCGGGGUUUCCACCAGCCCGUAAAACGGUGGAAAAAAUAUAACUGCCAACAAGCAAGAAUACGCUCUGGCUGCUUAAUUAAUGCAGCCACAUCCUACCCGCGUUGGGACCCGUGACCCGGGAUAGGGUGUCAAACUAACGGGCUGCUGCCGGGCCAAUUCUCGGAGGCCCGGCGGGAGAUCCAUCGAGAUAGCCCCUUUUGGAGGCUGGCUGUGGCCGCCAAAGGGGUGAAAGCUAAAGCACAGCCUGCGCUCGGAGAAACUCCUGUGGUCGUUCUUCCGGACGGUGGGUUCGACUCCCCCCGCCUCCACCA